UAACACAUGCAAGUCGAGCGGAAACGAGUUAUCUGAACCUUCGGGGAACGAUAACGGCGUCGAGCGGCGGACGGGUGAGUAAUGCCUAGGAAAUUGCCCUGAUGUGGGGGAUAACCAUUGGAAACGAUGGCUAAUACCGCAUGAUGCCUACGGGCCAAAGAGGGGGACCUUCGGGCCUCUCGCGUCAGGAUAUGCCUAGGUGGGAUUAGCUAGUUGGUGAGGUAAGGGCUCACCAAGGCGACGAUCCCUAGCUGGUCUGAGAGGAUGAUCAGCCACACUGGAACUGAGACACGGUCCAGACUCCUACGGGAGGCAGCAGUGGGGAAUAUUGCACAAUGGGCGCAAGCCUGAUGCAGCCAUGCCGCGUGUGUGAAGAAGGCCUUCGGGUUGUAAAGCACUUUCAGUCGUGAGGAAGGUAGUGUAGUUAAUAGCUGCAUUAUUUGACGUUAGCGACAGAACAGCACCGGCUAACUCCGUGCCAGCAGCCGCGGUAAUACGGAGGGUGCGAGCGUUAAUCGGAAUUACUGGGCGUAAAGCGCAUGCAGGUGGUUUGUUAAGUCAGAUGUGAAAGCCCGGGGCUCAACCUCGGAAUAGCAUUUGAAACUGGCAGACUAGAGUACUGUAGAGGGGGGUAGAAUUUCAGGUGUAGCGGUGAAAUGCGUAGAGAUCUGAAGGAAUACCGGUGGCGAAGGCGGCCCCCUGGACAGAUACUGACACUCAGAUGCGAAAGCGUGGGGAGCAAACAGGAUUAGAUACCCUGGUAGUCCACGCCGUAAACGAUGUCUACUUGGAGGUUGUGGCCUUGAGCCGUGGCUUUCGGAGCUAACGCGUUAAGUAGACCGCCUGGGGAGUACGGUCGCAAGAUUAAAACUCAAAUGAAUUGACGGGGGCCCGCACAAGCGGUGGAGCAUGUGGUUUAAUUCGAUGCAACGCGAGAACCUUACCUACUCUUGACACCCAGAGAACUUUCAGAAGAAUGGAUUGGUGCCUUCGGGACUCUGAGACAGGUGCUGCAUGGCUGUCG
rnacentral:rRNA from 1 species